CAGAGGGCAGCUGGUGUGUGGGCCCAAUGUCCCAUAACUGAAAGAAAGAUGCCUAGAUCUUUACUGCCCUGGGAUAUGAACAAAUGGCUCUACGGAAGGUACUCCGAAAGGGAUAGCAGCAACGAGACCACCUCUAAAAUCUGUGGACUGGACCUCUGAUUUAACACAGGAACAAGGAAAAGAAUAAGAAAGCAGUCAUGCAAAGGGUCCCAUCACCAUGGGGAAGCUAUACGCUUUAAUGCUCUAUCUGAUCCAAAGCAUAUUUUUCUUUCCCUUUAAGAAGUUUUGAUUACUUAAAAGAGCUCAGAAUAUUAAGGGCAUCUAUGCACCUUCAGAAACAGUAAACUGUCGAUGAAUAUGCUGAGCGCCAAGAGAAAACUAUCCAGGGAUGAUGACUUGGCCAUGGCUAAAGGCCUGAGGAUUACUUCUUAAGCAUACCACAUUGUUGCCCAUCCCUUGCUUUGAAAGGCACAGGUAAAAAGUAAAAGUGCUGAAGUAGCCCGAGUCUGAACUGGGACAACUCACGGAGUUUCAUGGUGAAGGUAAUAGUUCUGGAAAAGCUACUGGGGAUGAGACAACUGCUAAAGUUGAACAAGUUUGUGCUGGAGAAGCCUGAAACCAGAAUUGUCAAUGGAUGCAGGCAAAAUAAGCCCCUUAAAACCAGUUCUCUUGACACAAAUGAAUAGGAAAAGCAAAACCUAAGGAAGCAGAAGUUUAAGAAAGCAACCUUUCUAUUACCACCAACCACCACCAGCCAAGUGGCUUAGGCUUUCACCUUUGACAGCUUAUAAAAAGACAUCCCAACUCCGCUGCUGGGGAGGUUUUUAAUGCGGCCACAUAGGGAACUGGAGCUUUAUCACAUCCAGUGUAGAGGCAGAGGAGAUACCGGAUGGAGUCAAUACUUUCACCCAGAUCAGAGGGUAACAACAACAUUCCCACUGCAGUGUCAAUGGAGACUACUUGGGAACAGUGACAAGACACUUCCACCCCUCUUAAACAGGAAGGCAUCAUGGGAUACCUGGUGAGAAACAGAAACUCCUACCACUGUCUAAGAGUCGGGAGAAACAGAAUCAAUAGGAAUGUGGACAGCAUUUAGAAUCUGGAAAAGCUAAAACAUGGAUUAUCUCCUAGAACUUGCAGAAGGGCACAGCAUUAUCAAUUCCAUGAUUGCAACAUAGUGAAACUGAUUUUGGACAUCUGAUCCACAAAGCUUUUCAGAGCCCAGAAGCCUGAAAUGAGUUCCACUGGGCUAAAGUCAAGGUGUUGGCAGUCUGGGUCCUUCUGGAGCACUAGAGGAAACAUGUUUUCAUGCUUUUGCCACCUUCUGGAGGCCAUCUGUACUCCUUGGCUGCUGAUCCUUUCCUUUAUCUUCUGAUUAUACAACUCCAGUCUCUGCUUUGACGAUCACAUUACCUCUUCUGACUCCUUUUGUGUCUCACAUGGUGAUUGCAUCAGGCUGAGGAGAACUGUGAGAUACCACUUUUUGCUGCUAUAUGCAAUUUACCCGAGAGAGGAACUUCUCAGGCAGAGAUAACUGGCAUUGGAAGUGGAUAUCUACAACACUUGAGCUCACUGCAACAGCAAUGGCUACGACAGCACCUUACAUACUACAGCUAAUUUCUUUGCAGUUAUGAUUUAAUAUUGAGUCAUUACCACUGUUUACAUGUCUCUCCAUUCUGAAUGGGGGCCCACAAGGAGUAUGUGAUAUGACAAUGCUACAUCACUGGCUGUGGAAUGGCUUCCAUAAAACCAUCAGUUCAAAUAUUGCUUGAGAACAUGGUCUGGAGUUUCAAGUAAUUUAUUCCAUGAAGGACUUCUUGCAAAAAUUAUCAUAUGCAGUCAAUUUUUGCUUGUUCACCAUUCUCCAUUUCCAUAAUAUCUGUAUUAUGGUCACUGGCAAAGGUUAAUCAGUUGAUACAUUUUAGGCAGUUGGGUCCACAUUUUGGGUACAUUGCUUUAGUGUCUGUAUAGAAGACAUUAAAUGAAAAGUUUGCUAAAGACUCCCCACCUGAGAAUUGUGCACAGCUUCUAGCUACUGAUAGAAUCAUAGGAUAGGAAGACUCCUACAUAUGAAAUUUGAUUUACACCAGAUGGUAAAGGAAAUAGAAGGAUAUGACCAGACAUUAUUCCUGAGUUCAUAAUAUUUUCUCAGAUUUAGACAUUCAUAAAAUUGUACAGGAAAAAAAUUAAUGCUUGUAUUAAAGGAAAAUAAAAAAAAAAACAGGUCACACAUAAGCUGAAGUGAAAUCCAAAAUAUGCAAAUUUAUAACCAAAUGGAGGAAAGUAUAAAAUAAUUUUCUAUCAUCUUUGAAGAAAUGCAGCAUUAUUCUAGACUCAAGUAUUCCAAAGCUCAAGUUAUCUCAAUUUUUUAUACACAAUGUCAUAGAUUAAAUUUAAAACAAACAAGCAUGUGUGGCAGAUAUGAAAAUAAAUUCAAAAAAAGAAAUUUACAUUAAUAAAAAACCAAUAGGGAACCAGGUAAAGGAGUUAUUAAAUACUUCAAAAUAACUGCAUUGAAUAUAUCAAGAAAACUAAAACAUUGAAAGAAUCAUGGCAGAUGACUGGAAUAUAUAUAGCAGAACCAAAUGAAAAAUCUGAAACUGACAAAACAACAAGAAUUCAAUGGAUGGAAAUAAAAACACAUUAUGCAAAGAUGAAUAAAGAAUUUGUAAACUGUGGAAUAAAUCAGAAAAGAUCUACACUGAAAUUUUGAGAGAAAAGCUACUCUAAUAAUAACAACAAAAUAAAACAGAAAAUUUGAACAACAGUCCAAGCAAAGGGAAGUUGUAAAACGUCUAUAAGUUGACCUAUUAAGGCUAAAGGAAACCAGCUAAAUAUAAAAUGCUGUCUUCAAAUCAUGGAAAGAAAAUUACUGGCAACACUGGAUACUAUAUGCAGUGUAACUAUUCUUCAAAUUAUAAGUGAAAUGAAACUAUUUUAAUGCAGAGUAAAUCUGAGAGAUUUAAUACCAGCAAAUGCACAAUGAAUGAAUAUAUACAAUUCACAAAUCAUUGAGAAGAAAAGACAACGUAACAACAUUCUCUAAUCAUUGAGAAGAAAAAAGACAACGUAACUUAAAAGUGUAUACUACUUGAAGUAGCACUUUACUAUUAGGAUAUCCUCUGACUAGCAACAAAUUCUGAUGAGGAUAUUCAUGAAGAACCGACCUGAAUAAAGUGGAGCUGGACAGAGGCAAACUUUACUCUAAGACAGCUAAUACCAUGCAUUCCACAGCCAAAUUAUCAGGGCUUUCAGAAAAACCUAUAAUCAGGUAAUUUUUUUUCCUAGCCUACUCAAGGGAAAAUGCCACAAUCUUUAAUCUUUACAAUUUUUAUAGUUUCUUAUGUUUUCAUUAUCAUGAAUAUUUUCUCUCUCAGAAGGCAUAAACCAAUUAUGUAAUGAUCAUAAGAUUUAGUUUAGCACUAAAUAAUCUUAAGGUUUAGUUUAGAUUAAAAGAGUUUUAUAAAUAGCAGAAAAUCUAUAAAAGAGUAAAAAUAUAUUAAUCUUUUAAAAUGUCUAGAUGAAGGAAAAGUAGAUAAAAUAUCAUUGAGGAAAUUAGAUCUGCUGGCAAUGUCAUUUGUGAAUGUCCUGGGAAAACUUUGGCAAAAAGCUGCAUUGUGGAAGAAGUGCUGUUUUACAAAAAAUAAUAAUAAAGAGUUUAUCAACUCCUGGAAAAAUUCAGAAGCAGUUAUCAAAAACAUAUUUAUCAAAGAGGAAAAAUCUUUAGGCUUUGAAAAUUAAAAAUAUCAAACUUUGAAUGAAAGUGAAAACUACUCAAAAUUGCAUAAAUUCUAUAGGUCAUAAAGUUCAAAAGUUGUACAAAAUCUUUAUGUGUGUCCUUAAGAAUUAUUUAACAAGUCUAAUUUUGUAAACAUGUUAACAUGUAUGCCUAUAUAUUCUUGUUACACAGGUUGCACAUCAUUUAAACAUUAACAUUACCAUUCAAGCUAUGUUGGCACGUGGCUCAAAAUAAAUGUGGAUAUUCAAUUAAAUUUCAAAGGUUUAUAUUUUUGCCUGUUCUGAAACUAAUAAAAAUGGUAUUUUGAUGAAAGCAUUUAAUGCAUGCCUAAUGGGGGGUAACAGAAGA